AGAGUUUGAUCCUGGCUCAGGAUGAACGCUGGCGGCGUGCCUAAUACAUGCAAGUCGAGCGAACGGACGAGAAGCUUGCUUCUCUGAUGUUAGCGGCGGACGGGUGAGUAACACGUGGAUAACCUACCUAUAAGACUGGGAUAACUUCGGGAAACCGGAGCUAAUACCGGAUAAUAUUUUGAACCGCAUGGUUCAAAAGUGAAAGACGGUCUUGCUGUCACUUAUAGAUGGAUCCGCGCUGCAUUAGCUAGUUGGUAAGGUAACGGCUUACCAAGGCAACGAUGCAUAGCCGACCUGAGAGGGUGAUCGGCCACACUGGAACUGAGACACGGUCCAGACUCCUACGGGAGGCAGCAGUAGGGAAUCUUCCGCAAUGGGCGAAAGCCUGACGGAGCAACGCCGCGUGAGUGAUGAAGGUCUUCGGAUCGUAAAACUCUGUUAUUAGGGAAGAACAUAUGUGUAAGUAACUGUGCACAUCUUGACGGUACCUAAUCAGAAAGCCACGGCUAACUACGUGCCAGCAGCCGCGGUAAUACGUAGGUGGCAAGCGUUAUCCGGAAUUAUUGGGCGUAAAGCGCGCGUAGGCGGUUUUUUAAGUCUGAUGUGAAAGCCCACGGCUCAACCGUGGAGGGUCAUUGGAAACUGGAAAACUUGAGUGCAGAAGAGGAAAGUGGAAUUCCAUGUGUAGCGGUGAAAUGCGCAGAGAUAUGGAGGAACACCAGUGGCGAAGGCGACUUUCUGGUCUGUAACUGACGCUGAUGUGCGAAAGCGUGGGGAUCAAACAGGAUUAGAUACCCUGGUAGUCCACGCCGUAAACGAUGAGUGCUAAGUGUUAGGGGGUUUCCGCCCCUUAGUGCUGCAGCUAACGCAUUAAGCACUCCGCCUGGGGAGUACGACCGCAAGGUUGAAACUCAAAGGAAUUGACGGGGACCCGCACAAGCGGUGGAGCAUGUGGUUUAAUUCGAAGCAACGCGAAGAACCUUACCAAAUCUUGACAUCCUUUGACAACUCUAGAGAUAGAGCCUUCCCCGUUCGGGGGACAAAGUGACAGGUGGUGCAUGGUUGUCGUCAGCUCGUGUCGUGAGAUGUUGGGUUAAGUCCCGCAACGAGCGCAACCCUUAAGCUUAGUUGCCAUCAUUAAGUUGGGCACUCUAAGUUGACUGCCGGUGACAAACCGGAGGAAGGUGGGGAUGACGUCAAAUCAUCAUGCCCCUUAUGAUUUGGGCUACACACGUGCUACAAUGGACAAUACAAAGGGCAGCGAAACCGCGAGGUCAAGCAAAUCCCAUAAAGUUGUUCUCAGUUCGGAUUGUAGUCUGCAACUCGACUACAUGAAGCUGGAAUCGCUAGUAAUCGUAGAUCAGCAUGCUACGGUGAAUACGUUCCCGGGUCUUGUACACACCGCCCGUCACACCACGAGAGUUUGUAACACCCGAAGCCGGUGGAGUAACCUUUUAGGAGCUAGCCGUCGAAGGUGGGACAAAUGAUUGGGGUGAAGUCGUAACAAGGUAGCCGUAUCGGAAGGUGCGGCUGGAUCACCUCCUUU
rnacentral:rRNA from 1 species